AUUGAACGCUGGCGGCAGGCCUAACACAUGCAAGUCGAGCGAGAGGCGGACGGGUGAGUAAUGUAUGGGGAUCUGCCCGAUAGAGGGGGAUAACUACUGGAAACGGUGGCUAAUACCGCAUACUAUCGGAUGAAGCCAUAUGGGAUUAGCUAGUAGGUGGGGUAAAGGCCCACCUAGGCGACGAUCUCUAGCUGGUCUGAGAGGAUGAUCGGCCACACUGGGACUGAGACACGGCCCAGACUCCUACGGGAGGCAGCAGUGGGGAAUAUUGCACAAUGGGCGAAAGCCUGAUGCAGCCAUGCCGCGUGAAUGAAGAAGGCUUUAGGGUUGUAAAGUUCUUUCAGCGGGGAGGCGUUACCCGCAGAGAAAGCACCGGCUAACUCCGUGCCAGCCGCCGCGGUAAUAC
rnacentral:rRNA from 1 species